UCGGAUUGACUGGGCGUAAAGCGUGUGUAGGUGGUUUGACAAGUUGGUUGUGAAAUCCCCGGGCUCAACCUGGGAACUGCUGCCAAGACUGUCAGACUAGAGUACGGUAGAGGGCGGUGGAAUUUCCGGUGUAGCGGUGAAAUGCGUAGAUAUCGGAAGGAACACCAAUGGCGAAGGCAGCCGCCUGGGCCUGUACUGACACUGAGACACGAAAGCGUGGGGAUCAAACAGG
rnacentral:rRNA from 1 species